rnacentral:lncRNA from 1 species
GCCAAGGACAUGAGCAUCACGAGAGCAAUGCCAAGGGAACUUAUCGGUAGUUUUCUGUCGUAUCUCAUGCGUGAAAGCUGGAGUGGCUGCAUGGUUUUCUUAUGAAACUAGCAUAUGGACACCAGAUGCUUAUUCUUUAGCUGGUUGCGUCUACAGUAUUAUAGAGCGUGCUCCUCCUUGUUCUGUACUUGUUACUUGUAGCAAGUAGGUCGCCUUGCAAUGACUGAAUUGAUUGACUCCGCCACCCAAGUUGUGGUUGUAACUAAAUUCUACAUGGAGAUUUGUUUCCUAAUCCUAAUGAUACGGCACGUAACUCACAUGUUUUCCUGAAACAAAAGGAAACCAGAUGCUUAUGUUGUACCCUGACUUGGUACAGCGUAUCAGUGGUCUGGUCAAGGAACAUUCUGAGGGCAAGAAUGGACAUUUAUAGCUCAAGAAACCUGGUGCUCUGUUACAUGAUUUCGUAAGAUUUUGCAAGUUGUACUAAUGAAUCUACCAGCGUAAGAUUUUGCAUCACACUGAAAUUUUGCAUGUACACAGAGCAGCUUGUCUGUAGGAACCGUCCUGCAAGAAAGGAAGAGGCCAAGGAGAUGAUCUGCACAAGGGCAAGGCUAAGGGAAGGUAUGUGCAAGUGCAAUAUCAAAUUAAGGCUGGGUGUUAUGCCCCUUUUCGGAGAAAAAGGGAAGGUCUGUAAAAACUGGAGGGGCUGCAUAGUUUUCUUGUAAAACUAUCAUGACGCUUCUUCUUCAGAUGGUUGCUUCUAUCAACAAGGAGGCCCUCCUCGGACGCCCUUCUGGAGUUCUUUACCGACUACGGAGUAGUCACUUUUGCACUUAAUGGUGUGACAUGCAGCUUGCUUGUUGUGGAUAAAUAAGGGAUACCCCCUCUGAUGUGCCCUGACUAUGUAAUGCGUCAAAGGUCUAGUCAAGGAAGACUUCGGAGUCCGGUAGCAAAAAAGGGGCAUGUUUGUAGCCUCAUGGAUGCGGUGACCUGGUGUUCUUUGCCUCUUUUGUCAUGCCGGCGUUGCCUGGUGCGUACGUCUGCUGUUGUUUUCCGUUCCCUCGGCUUCAAGUAGUCAGGAUAGCGUACGAGGACUUGCAAUGGCAGGGUGGUUGAUUGCAACAGGCCGGAAUUCGGGCUGGUUGCUGGCCAGUUUAGUUGAACACAUAGCUGGUGUAAAGAGUUUGUAUUUCUUUUGGGGUAUUAGUUAUGUUUUAGAUGAUGCUGUUUUGACGCUCUGUUCCCAGCGUAGAGUGAUGAGCAAAAGAAUCACUGUACAUGUGGAUAAUAAUAUAGUUCUGGUUGAGAAAAAUAGCAAAAGUUUUUGUGAGACCAGUGAUAGAAUCCAGGUAUAAUGUAUUCUUUACUUUGCCUGGUAUAUUUGCCAGAUCUUGUCUUUAGAUGAUGCUGGUCUUAUAUUCAUCUUCGAUGGAGUGCUGCUUGAUCUUUAUAGAUGUAUGAUAUAAUCUUUA